rnacentral:rRNA from 1 species
GACGAACGCUGGCGGCGUGCCUAACACAUGCAAGUCGAACGAGUCCACUCUUUCGGGAGUGAGGCGAGUGGCGGACGGGUGAGUAACACGUGAGCAAUCUAUCCGGUUGCGGGGGACAACGAGGGGAAACCCUCGCUAAUACCGCAUGGUCAAGAGGAUCGAUGAUCCUUUUGGGAAACGUGGCCUCUUAACAAUGCUACGGCGAUGGGAGGAGCUCGCGGGCUAUCAGCUGGUUGGUGAGGUAACGGCUCACCAAGGCGACGACGGCUACGGGGUCUGAGAGGACGACCCCGCACAUUGGAACUGAGACACGGUCCAGACUCCUACGGGAGGCAGCAGUGGGGAAUAUUGGGCAAUGGCCGAAAGGCUGACCCAGCGACGCCGCGUGUGGGAGGAAGCCCUUCGGGGUGUAAACCACUGUCAGGAGGGACGAAAGAGUCGGGGGUGAAUAAUCCUCGGCAGUGACGGUACCUUCAAAGGAAGCACCGGCUAACUCUGUGCCAGCAGCCGCGGUAAUACAGAGGGUGCAAGCGUUGUUCGGAAUUACUGGGCGUAAAGCGCGCGCAGGCGGAUCCUGUAAGUCGGAAGUGAAAUUUCGGGGCUCAACUCCGAAGCUGCUUCUGAUACUGCGGAUCUGGAGAUCGGUAGAGGUCGGUGGAAUUGCAGGUGUAGCGGUGGAAUGCGUAGAG